rnacentral:rRNA from 1 species
UACGUAGGGCGCAAGCGUUAUCCGGAAUUAUUGGGCGUAAAGCGCGUGUAGGCGGCUUUGCAAGUCGGAUGUGAAAGCCCACGGCUCAACCGAGGAAGUGCGUUCGAAACUGCAGAGCUUGAGUACCGGAGAGGGUGGCGGAAUUCCCCAAGUAGAGGUGAAAUUCGUAGAUAUGGGGAGGAACACCGGUGGCGAAGGCGGCCACCUGGACGGUCACUGACGCUGAGACGCGAAAGCGUGGGUAGCAAACAGG